AUGCUGGGUACCUAGAUGGACCGCCACUGGCUAAAGUGGAGGAAGGAGAGGGCGACGGUAGGUCAGUAUGCCCCGAAUCUCCCGGCUACACGCGGCCUACAAUGGACAGGACAAUGGGCUCCGAUCCCGAAAGGGAAAGGCAAUCCUUUAAACCUGUUCUUAGUUCGGAUUGAGGGCUGUAACUCGCCCUCAUGAAGCUGGAAUCUCUAGUAAUCGCGUGUCAUCAUCGCGCGGUGAAUACGUCCCUGCUCCUU
rnacentral:rRNA from 1 species